UACGUAGGGGGCAAGCGUUGUCCGGAUUUAUUGGGCGUAAAGAGCGUGUGGGCGGCCAAGCAGGUCCGCUGUGAAAACUCGAGGCUCAACCUCGAGACGUCGGUGGAAACCGUUUGGCUAGAGUCCGGAAGAGGAGAGUGGAAUUCCCGGUGUAGCGGUGAAAUGCGCAGAUAUCGGGAAGAACACCCGUGGCGAAGGCGGCUCUCUGGGACGGUACUGACGCUGAGACGCGAAAGCGUGGGGAGCGAACAGG
rnacentral:rRNA from 1 species